ACAGAACCUGGGACCUGAGGCCAUGCUGGGCUAGGACAAGAGGCAGAGGCAGAGAGACAGAGAGGAGCCACCCUGAGAAGAGAGACCAGGUGCUGCUGGUCUUGGCUCAGCUCAGUAUGGCACGGCAUGGCAUGGCACAGAUCGGUGCUGGUGCCCAGAGAGAGACUAUGAAACUGCUGAUGCCUGUAAGUGAGAGCUACCCCCCUGAAGGUGGGAAGUUGGGAGCCAGGAACUGGCUUGUGCCUGGAGAGAGAAAGAAUUAAGCUGUGAACCCUGACAGAGCUGGCCUUGCAGGCCAGGAAAAGCAGUUCCCGACGCGGGGGUGGCAGGAGCCACAGAGCCAGAACAGACAGCCGAGAUAAAGGUGAACAGUGUGAGAGCGCUACUGACAAGAGAGCUGCUGAAUAAACCAUAUUCACCUGCUUGCAGCCCCCCAAGUGUUCUCCCUCUCUCCUCCUCCUCCUCCUUAUUCUUCACCCCCUCCUCCUUUUUCUUCUUCCUCUCUCUCUCUCUUUCUUUCUCCAUCCCUCACUAUUUUCAGGAAUGUUAAUAAAGCCCAGAAGUCUCAAGCAAAGUUUCUAGCUGCAGGCCUCAUUCCCAUGUACUACCACCAAGAGAUGCUGAGAGAUGGACAUCUGGGAGAGAAGGAAUCCAUGGGCAGGGAGAGAGGGCUGGGAUGGAUGCCAUGUGGCCAACCCAGAAUGCCAUCCCUGGGACCCCUGAAUUCUAUAAGGACAGGACAUGAAGCUGUGUGUAUUCCCUGGAGGUGUUUAUUGCCUAUGUAUUAAUAAUAACAUUAAAAACAACAGCAAGCAUAA